rnacentral:rRNA from 1 species
UACGAAGGGGGCGAGCGUUGUUCGGAAUUACUGGGCGUAAAGGGCGCGUAGGCGGUGUGUCAAGUCAGGCGUGAAAGCCCCGGGCUCAACCUGGGAACCGCGCUUGAGACUGGCACGCUCGAGUCCGGGAGAGGAUGGUGGAAUUCCCAGUGUAGAGGUGAAAUUCGUAGAUAUUGGGAAGAACACCGAUGGCGAAGGGCAGCCAUCUGGACCGGCACUGACGCUGAGGCGCGAAAGCGUGGGGAGCGAACAGG